AUCCAACUGAUAAGUCCAAAAUAGGACGAAACGCGCAUCCUGGAU
rnacentral:hammerhead_ribozyme from 1 species